AAUCAACGCUGGCGGCGUGCCUAACACAUGCAAGUCGAGCGAGAGGGAGUAGCAAUACUCUAGUAAAGCGGCGCACGGGUGAGUAACACGUGGGUAAUCUGCCUCGAAGUGGGGAAUAACACCGGGAAACCGGUGCUAAUACCGCAUAAUCUGACGGGAUCUGCGGAUUUUGUCAGCAAAGGAGCAAUUCGCUUUGAGAGGAGCCCGCGGCUGAUUAGCUAGUUGGUGAGUUAAUGGCUCACCAAGGCCACGAUCAGUAGCCGGUCUGAGAGGACGGUCGGCCACACUGGAACUGAGACACGGUCCAGACUCCUACGGGAGGCAGCAGUGGGGAAUUUUUCGCAAUGGGGCAACCCUGACGAAGCAACGCCGCGUGGAUGAUGAAGUCUCUUGGGACGUAAAAUCCUUUCGACGGGGACGAAACCGCAAGGUUGACGGUACCCGUAGAAGAAGCCCCGGCUAACUCCGUGCCAGCAGCCGCCGUAACAC
rnacentral:rRNA from 1 species